rnacentral:rRNA from 1 species
GGGGUUAAUCUAAUUAACUUUAAACCAUAAUAAGAUUGGAUAAACAUCAUAUAUUAUAUAAUUAUAAUUAAUAUUAUUGUAUUUGUAUAUAUAAAUUAUAUCUAGGAUUGAUAGUAUUCAUGAUAUAUUGUUUUAUCACAAAUUUAUAAUAUAUAUACAUAAUAUCAAUUGAUUAUUAUUAUGAUGAAUAUUAUAUGUUUAAUAAAUUAGUAGAGCUUAUAAUC